CAAGAUUUAACAUAAAUAAUGUAUCUCACUUACAUUGAGACAAUGAUUAAUUACUAAUCAGUUUUGA
rnacentral:tRNA from 1 species